UCUGGUGACGAUAGAGAGAGGGACACACCUGUUCCCAUACCGAACACAGAAGUUAAGCCUCUCAUCGCCGAUGGUACUUGGGUGGUAACGCCCUGGGAGAGUAGGAAGCUGCCAGGC
rnacentral:rRNA from 1 species